UACGAAGGGGGCUAGCGUUGCUCGGAAUUACUGGGCGUAAGCGCACGUAGGCGGCUUGCUUAAGAUCGGGGGGUGAAAAUCCUGGGAGCUCAACUCCAGAACUGCCUUCGAUACUGGCGAUCUCGAGUUCGGGAGAGGUGAGUGGAACUGCGAGUGUAGAGGUGAAAUUCGUAGAUAUUCGCAAGAACACCAGUGGCGAAGGCGGCUCACUGGCCCGAUACUGACGCUGAGGUGCGAAAGCGUGGGGAGCAACAGG
rnacentral:rRNA from 1 species